rnacentral:rRNA from 1 species
AACGAACGCUGGCGGCGUGCCUAACACAUGCAAGUCGUGCGAGAAAGUUCCUUCGGGAGCGAGUAAAGCGGCGCACGGGUGAGUAACACGUAGGUAACCUGCCCCCCAGUCUGGAACAACUAGAGGAAACUCUAGCUAAUGCCGGAUGAGACCACGAUCCCUUCGGGGGUUGCGGCCAAAGAUGGCCUCUACUUGUAAGCUAUCGCUGAGGGAUGGGCUGCGGCCAUUAGCUUGUUGGUGAGGUUAACGGCUCACCAAGGCUGUGAUGGCUAGCUGGUCUGAGAGGAUGACCAGCCACACUGGGACUGAGACACGGCCCAGACUCCUACGGAGGCAGCAGUGGGGAAUAUUGCGCAAUGGGCGAAAGCCU